AUUGAACGCUGGCGGCAUGCUUUACACAUGCAAGUCGAACGGUAACAGGUCUUCGGCUGCUGACGAGUGGCGGACGGGUGCGUAAUACAUCGGAACGUGCCUAGUAGUGGGGGAUAACUACUCGAAAGAGUAGCUAAUACCGCAUGAGAUCUACGGAUGAAAGCAGGGGACCUUCGGGCCUUGUGCUACUAGAGCGGCUGAUGUCAGAUUAGGUAGUUGGUGGGGUAAAGGCUUACCAAGCCUGCGAUCUGUAGCUGGUCUGAGAGGACGACCAGCCACACUGGAACUGAGACACGGCCCAGACUCCUACGGGAGGCAGCAGUGGGGAAUUUUGGACAAUGGGCGAAAGCCUGAUCCAGCAAUGCCGCGUGCAGGAUGAAGGCCCUCGGGUUGUAAACUGCUUUUGUACGGAACGAAAAGCCUGGGGCUAAUAUCCCCGGGUCAUGACGGUACCGUAAGAAUAAGCACCGGCUAACUACGUG
rnacentral:rRNA from 1 species